UACAGAGGUCUCAAGCGUUGUUCGGAUUCAUUGGGCGUAAAGGGUGCGUAGGCGGCGCGGUAAGUCGGGUGUGAAAUCUCGGAGCUUAACUCCGAAACUGCAUUCGAUACUGCCGUGCUUGAGGACUGGAGAGGAGACUGGAAUUUACGGUGUAGCGGUGAAAUGCGUAGAUAUCGUAAGGAAGACCAGUGGCGAAGGCGGGUCUCUGGACAGUUCCUGACGCUGAGGCACGAAGGUCAGGGGAGCAAAACGGGGAUUAGAACCUAC
rnacentral:rRNA from 1 species